UGACCACACGAGUUUCCUCCUAGUGCUGCAGUAUUCUCCGACAUUCCAAAGAUGUACAGGCCCCAGAUGCCCAUCCACUCUGCAGGGUUCUGGUUCUCAUGCUCUCUUCUGAUUUGCGAGGGCUCAUUUCAUCUUCUGUCCUUUAAGAUUGAGCUCAUGGAAUCAUCUGGCUAUCAAUAAAAAAAAUCAAUCCUGGAAUAUGUAUGAUGGACACGAGAGAAAAAUGAAUAUUCCUUGUCUACUGGAUGAAAAAAAAGCAAGCAUCAAUAAUACCGCAUUUCAUUAAAAAAGAUUUAAUAAACACAGCUGAUUGAUUUGGUAUCAUUGAUUUAGAAGAUGAACGAGCUAAAACUGGAUCUAAGCAACAAUUAAGGUCUCCACCCAUCACCAAUGAGUACAGACUUAGAUCUGGCAAAAAUUAAAAAAAAUGCUCAAAGAAACCUGGGUCAUCUAUACUCGGAGCAUAUACAUUGGCAAAUACCAUUAGUUUGUUAUUUACUUUCCCUGAUACUAUAACAAAAUGCCCAUUAGUAUCAGAAAUUACUUUAUGUUGAUCAAAGGGAAAUUUAUUAUCUAUAAGGAUCAAAACUCCCCUCGCUUUGAUCUGAAACGAGGAAUGGAAAUGAGAUUAAAAAGACAUGAAUUGUCACGCUUACGUACAUGGGUUUCUUGAAGAAAAACAAUUGGUACCUUAAGUUGUUUAAUACAGGCAAAAAUCUUAUUUCUUUUCAUGGAGUGAUUUAGUUCUUUCACGUUAAAACUAAGUAAAUUAAUACCUUGAUCCAUCUUAAAACUAUUUAUAAGAAAGGUUAAAGUAGCAAUCAGAAAAAUAUAAAUUAAACCCAAAUAAUAAACACUGAGAUAUAUUUGCUAAGCAACAGAAUUGACUAGAUUCCCAAAUCAGCUUCAAGAAAAAAGAAA